rnacentral:lncRNA from 1 species
GCUACUUUGUGGUCGACAUGUUGAUNGAAUGGACUCUAUGGACUUGUCUAUGGUUGCAGUUCACUGUGGUUUAAAAGACCCACAGUUGUACAAGCUCAAGUUCUAAAAAGAGUUCUACGAUAAGGAAGAUGGAAGGGAAGGGAUGGUCAUGUUAGGAACAUUGAUUUGGAAGUUUGAAAUUAUUCCAGCACCAUCAGCAGAACAUGUACCGCCAGUCAGAGUCAGUGCCAGUGUGAUAGACAAUAAACUCCCCCCCAUUCAUCUAGAAUGUACACUAACUUGUAACUGUUUUAGAAAUCCUUCAAGUUGUUUGUGCGAAUUCGAUGUACGUCCAACACUCGACGAAACUGAUUCCAGUGAUCAUGACGAGGAAACGAUCCNUACGGUGGCCCANAAGGGCAAAACUCAAUUUAUGAGUAAAGACAAAAGAAAAGUUCCAUUAACACAAAUAAGAUUUCAUAAUGCAAAAGAAAGUUUUNUAACACAAAAUAAAGUUUCACUGCACACAAUACAGUUUAUUGCAACACAACCAAGUGUUGUGAAGCAAAAUAAUGUUUCGUACAACACAACAAAGUUUCGCGAGACUAAAUUUUGUUUCGUACAACACAACAAAGUUUUGUGAAACACAAUAAUAAACCUAUGCACAAGAAAAAUCUGUGAAACACAUAACAGUUUUGUGGACACUGAAAAAUUCCGACAAUAUAAGCUCAUAUAAAAUAUCAUAAUUGAAGGGGCGGAUGCGAAACCGACUUAAGUGACGAUUUAGGGUAUUUUCGAAAUUUUCGAAAAAUUAAAAAAACAUCAUUCCAAUCGCUUAUUUUAAGUCUAAAUAACCUUAUUUAGUACUUAUUUCUCCUGAUUUCUUUCCAAAAAGAGCAAAAAAGGACCCAUAGUUACCGACUUCUUUGGCUUGACAACUGAUCGCUAGACCGUAAAAUAUCCUAGAUUUGCAUAUUCGCGCUAAACUCAUGACUUUGACAGUUGGUUUGCCGGUUUGUUUUGGUUCGAAGCUGUGCUGCAAGAAGUCGAGAAAUGAGUUUUUUCGCGGUUUUCUCAGCCUUUUUGCCUUUAGUCACUACUCUACGGACAUCAUUAAGUUUGUAGGUAGCGAAGGAGCUUACUUGCUGAAAGAAUCCAGCUUGGUGUGUGACUUUUUAAGCGAUUUUGAUUCCGCGGUUCAUUCGAUUAACUCGGACAGUCGCUUGAAGAGAAUCACUUAAAAGACCGUCUAAAGGCAAAUCCUUGGAGCUGCCACGGUAAUUUUUGGAUGUUUUGGCUAUUGAGGAACAAAAGCGACUUGAAAUUUUGGCAGAUUUCCGAGAAGGCUGUAGACUUUAUAUAAAUUUCUAUUUCAGAUUGGACGGAAUCGUUGCUCACGGCGUGUGUAGAUUUUUCCCAGAAUUCAUUGCGUGCAAAAAUCCGGUUAAAAGACGUGUUCUGAAUCAGUGUCCAAAGAGAAAGCCGUAGCAUGAGAUCUUUAUGGAAAAUGUGAAAAAUAAAACGCUUAAAUGACAGAAGUAGGACUAAAAUUGUGUACCAACAGUCAUUCGCUUCUUGAAAUCUAGAAUUUUGUAGGAAAAAAA